UACGAAGGGGGCUAGCGUUGCUCGGAAUCACUGGGCGUAAAGCGCACGUAGGCGGACUCUUAAGUCGGUUGUGAAAUCCUGGAGCUCAACUCCAGAACUGCCUUCGAUACUGGGAGUCUUGAGUCCGGGAGAGGUGAGUGGAACUGCGAGUGUAGAGGUGAAAUUCGUAGAUAUUCGCAAGAACACCAGUGGCGAAGGCGGCUCACUGGCCCGGUACUGACGCUGAGGUGCGAAAGCGUGGGGAGCAAACAGG
rnacentral:rRNA from 1 species